CCCUUAGAUGUUCUGGGCCGCACGCGCGCUACACUGAUGCAUUCAACGAGUCUAAAACCUGCUCUGAUAGGGGUGGGUAAUCUUUUGAAUGUGCAUCGUGAUUGGGAUAGAUGAUUGCAAUUUUUCAUCUUCAACGAGGAAUGCCUAGUAAACGCAAGUCAUCAGCUUGCAUUGAUUACGUCCCUGCCCUUUGUACACACCGCCCGUCGCUCCUACCGAUUGAAUGUUCCGAUGAAUGCCAUGGACUGAGAGUAUGAAUGGGUUCGCCUAUUUCUGCUUCUCGGGAAGUGGAGUAAAUCUUAACAUUUAGAGGAAGGAGAAGUCGUAACA
rnacentral:rRNA from 1 species